AUGGCUGAGAACUCCACCUCCUCUGCCACCUCUCCGGCCACUAGCUCAGCCACCUCGCCGGCAGCUCUCUCCAGCUCUUCCACCAGCGCCGGCACCACCGCCGGCACAUCCCCUCCUCUCAUCUUCGGCACCAUCCCCUCCACCCACAGCGGAUCCUCCCCCUUGCUCGGAUCACAGUUUGCCCCUCUCUUUUCCCCCUCCACGGCGCCGCCGCCCUCCUUCGCCGCCGCCCCGUCCAACCAUCCCAUCUUCCACGACAGCAUCCAGAACCAUAUCAAAUUUCUCCUUAACCCAGACGAGCACAACUACCACAAAUGGAAGUCCUUCUUCCUCCUUGUUCUCAUCCGCUAUGGCGUCGCUCAGAUCAUCGAGCAGCCCAUCCCGGCCAAUGCCACCGCUUUCCAGCGUGAGCUCGACGCCCAUCUUGUGCUCUGGAUAUACUCCACUCUCGCCGAUAACCUCGUCGACCACGUCGUCGGCGCUACCACCACCUAUGAUCUCUGGCAUCGCAUCCGCGAUUAUUUCCUGGCGAAUCGUGCGGCGCGGUAUAUGAUGCUGAACCGCCAAUACCGCAACCUCAAAUAGGGGGAUCUCUCCGUCGCCGAGUACGCUCGUCGCAUGAAGCUCCUCACCGCCGGGCUGGCCGACAUCGAGCACGCCGUCACUGAAGUGGAUCUCACCAUUCAGUUUCUUCACGGCAUCGACAAACGCCUCGACACCAUCCGCGUCGUGCUCGGAGACACGGUUCCUCUACCACCGUUCGAGACAGUCUUCUCUCGCCUGAAGCUCGCCGAGGAGAACCUCGCCCAGCGCGUGGCCGACGAGCCGGCCACCAUCCUCGCCGUCACUGGGGGCGGCGGCCCCUCCGGGUCAGGCGGCCCCGCUCCUCGCUCCGGUGACCGCACCGAUCGCGCCAUUGAUCGGGGUCCCAGCUCCCCGGCUGGCCGUGCCUCCGGCACCCGUGAUGGUGGUGACCGCGGUGGCCGUGGUCGUGGUCGUGGCCGCGGCCGUGGUCGCGGCGCUCCUGCACCCAUGGCGUACAACCCCUACAUGGGGUUCUUCGCGCCCUACGGGAUGGCCAUCCCGAACCCAUGCCCUGGCUGGGUCCCUCCGAACGCCGCCGGCGUGCUCGGCCUACGGCCCGGGUCGCAUGCCCAGGCCUACCCGAUGCAGAUCUCCAGCUACCCACCCACGACGCCAACCCAGCCACCUUCCUAG
rnacentral:rRNA from 1 species